rnacentral:rRNA from 1 species
UAAUACGAAGGGGGCUAGCGUUGUUCGGAAUUACUGGGCGUAAAGCGCGCGCAGGCGGUUUGGUAAGUUAGGGGUGAAAUCCCCGGGCUCAACCCGGGAAUGGCCUUUAAGACUGCCAGGCUAGAGGACGAGAGAGGUGAGUGGAAUUCCCAGUGUAGAGGUGAAAUUCGUAGAUAUUGGGAAGAACACCGGUGGCGAAGGCGGCUCACUGGCUCGUUUCUGACGCUGAGGCGCGAAAGCGUGGGGAGCAAACAGG